rnacentral:rRNA from 1 species
GACGAACGCUGGCGGCGUGCUUAACACAUGCAAGUCGAACGGAAAGGCCCUGCUUUUGUGGGGUGCUCGAUGGGCGAACGGGUGAGUAACACGUGAGUAACCUGCCCUUGACUUUGGGAGAACUUCAGGAAAGUGGGGCUAAGACCGUAUAGGAGCUCCUGCUGCAUGGUGGGGGGUGGAAAGUUUCGGCGGUUGGGGAUGGACUCGCGGCUGAUGAGCUUGUUGGUGGGGUAGUGGCUUACCAAGGCUUUGACGGGUAGCCGGCCUGGGAGGGUGACCGGCCACCUUGGGCCUGAGAUACGGCCCAGACUCCUACGGGAGGCAGCAGUGGGGAAUAUUGCACAAUGGGCGGACGCCUGAUGAAGAAACGCCGCGUGCGGGAUGACGGCCUUCGGGUUGUAAACAGCUUUCGCCUGUGACGACGCGUGAGUGACGGUAAUGAGUAAAGAAGCACCGGCUAACUACGUG